AGAGUUUGAUCAUGGCUCAGAUUGAACGCUGGCGGCAUGCCUUACACAUGCAAGUCGAACGGCAGCACGGGAGCAAUCCUGGUGGCGAGUGGCGAACGGGUGAGUAAUACAUCGGAACGUGCCCAGUAGUGGGGGAUAGCCCGGCGAAAGCCGGAUUAAUACCGCAUACGACCUACGGGUGAAAGCGGGGGAUCGCAAGACCUCGCGCUAUCGGAGCGGCCGAUGUCAGAUUAGGUAGUUGGUGGGGUAAAGGCUCACCAAGCCUUCGAUCUGUAGCUGGUCUGAGAGGACGACCAGCCACACUGGGACUGAGACACGGCCCAGACUCCUACGGGAGGCAGCAGUGGGGAAUUUUGGACAAUGGGCGCAAGCCUGAUCCAGCCAUGCCGCGUGCGGGAAGAAGGCCUUCGGGUUGUAAACCGCUUUUGUCAGGGAAGAAACGCUCCGGGCCAAUACCUCGGAGUAAUGACGGUACCUGAAGAAUAAGCACCGGCUAACUACGUGCCAGCAGCCGCGGUAAUACGUAGGGUGCAAGCGUUAAUCGGAAUUACUGGGCGUAAAGCGUGCGCAGGCGGCUGUGCAAGACAGAUGUGAAAUCCCCGGGCUCAACCUGGGAACUGCAUUUGUGACUGCAUAGCUCGAGUGCGGCAGAGGGGGAUGGAAUUCCGCGUAGCAGUGAAAUGCGUAGAUAUGCGGAGGAACACCGAUGGCGAAGGCAAUCCCCUGGGCCUGCACUGACGCUCAUGCACGAAAGCGUGGGGAGCAAACAGGAUUAGAUACCCUAGUAGUCC
rnacentral:rRNA from 1 species